AAAAUCGUUAAGCUAAAUGCUAAAAAACGAAUUUCGUGAAAGAAAUACAACUAAACUUAUACUGUGUCCAAUUUACACACGAAAAUUAAGGAUGUUGAAAACGAAAAGAGCAGAAUUAAACUGUUACAAAUAGACUCUGGAAAUUAUUUUAAAGAUCGUCCCCAAAUAGAGAUUGAGUCUGAUUCUGAAUUAGUAUACGAAACCAUCCAAGCCAAGCGGGCAUCUUCUGAUCAACCACUCAAUAUCUAAUACAGAAAAAGAUUUCCACAUUAAACAGUUAGCAAACAGAAGCGCCGUAAAAAAGGAAGGGCAUGAAAUCCGAAUCAAACUUGUCUGUUUCAACUGCUCUCCAACCGACGAGUCCAUCAAAGAAGCAUCGCCGAUGAGUCUAUUGUCAAGAAUAUUAUUGGUACAAAUGUGAGUGACAUUCCGAGCAUUAUUUUAUCCUGCAGCCGUUCCCUAUACGGCCACGACAUCUUAUAUGGAAGAUUUCGUCAAGCCAUUUCCGAGGAAGUCACCCGACAAGUUAAAAAAUAAAUCCUACAUGCAGGCACGAACGAUCUGAGGAGUGUUAUCGCUGACUAGAACUUAAUUUAGUAACGCACGUAAAAGAAGAUUCUGCUAAGGGCAUGUAUAAACUUGCUUUAAUGCACCAAUUCGUUAAGCGAAUAUUCAGAGACCAUUAAAAACCAAUUAAGACACACACACAGAAUGUUGUGGGAGAAGGGUUGCUGGGGGGAAAUGCUCCGAUUAUACUUUAAACUGUGGCCAUGGUGUCACCCCACAGACUCACUAUUACAGCAUUAUGAUUAUGAUAUAAUUAUAUGUCCUCAGGGGGUCGUGGUUCCCCCAUGUUGGACUUUACCCAAGGGGUAGUAGAUCCCCGAGAUGGGCAUCCUGAAUGUCCAAGGGGUAGUAGAUCCCCGUGAUGGUCAU